GUUUACUAUUUUGGUGGCGACCGGCGCACGGGUGAGUAACGCGUAUGCAACCUACCUUAUACAGGAGUAUAGCCCGAAGAAAUUCGGAUUAAUCCUCCAUAGUAUUUUCUAAUGGCAUCAUUUGGAAAAUUAAAGCUUCGGCGGUAUAAGAUGGGCAUGCGUCCUAUUAGCUAGAUGGUAAGGUAAUGGCUUACCAUGGCUACGAUAGGUAGGGGGCCUGAGAGGGUGAUCCCCCACACUGGUACUGAGACACGGACCAGACUCCUACGGGAGGCAGCAGUGAGGAAUAUUGGUCAAUGGGCGAAAGCCUGAACCAGCCAUGCCGCGUGCAGGAAGAAUGCCCUAUGGGUUGUAAACUGCUUUUAUUUAGGAAUAAACCCCUCUACGUGUAGAGGGCUGAAUGUACUAAACGAAUAAGCACCGGCUAACUCCGUGCCAGCAGCCGCGGUAAUACGGAGGGUGCAAGCGUUAUCCGGAAUCAUUG
rnacentral:rRNA from 1 species